UACGUAGGGGGCAAGCGUUGUCCGGAAUUAUUGGGCGUAAAGAGCUCGUAGGCGGUUUGUUGCGUCGGCUGUGAAAUCCCGAGGCUCAACCUCGGGUCUGCAGUCGAUACGAGCAAACUAGAGUGUUGCAGGGGAGACUGGAAUUCCUGGUGUAGCGGUGAAAUGCGCAGAUAUCGGGAAGAACACCCGUGGCUAAGGCGGCUCUCUAGUACGGUACUGACGCUGAGACGCGAAAGCGUGGGGAGCGAACAGG
rnacentral:rRNA from 1 species